UGCCUCCUCUCCUUGCGUGCCGCAUGCUCGUCGCACAGUUUGCGGGGGUGUGGGGCAGGUCGUGCCCUCGAAACCCCGUCGGGCAAUCCCCUCGCCUUCACGCCACACCCCUCCCCACCUCCCUCCUCGAUCUCUCUCCACAGCACGAAGCCACGAACCCUAGCCCCCUCCCUCUCCCUCGCGUAUGCCGGUGUGCGUGAGUAAUAUGGCGGCGGCAGGGCUGGUGACCAUCAGAGGAUGCCAUGUGCUAGCUGGGGUGUUCCACGGUGAGGAACGACCGCGCUGGACGCUGUCCUACCCAGCCACACAUGGUUUUUCACGCAGAUCAAAUCUGCCAUGGUAAGGAGGGCCAAGAUCUGGACAGUGCGCCUCAACCACGCCUUCGUCUUCCACCUGCUUGCUGAUAGAGAGAUAGCAGCAGUGGUAGGAGGAGCCUGGGCGGAGAGGGGAGAAGUGGGCAAGGGGGUGCAGAGCCAGGAGGUGGGGGUCGCCGGGUGAGCACAGCCGCACAGGGCCUGGUGCCGCCGCUGACAGAGCAGAGUGGCGGACCACAAGGGGGUGCGAUGGGGUGGCCGAGAGAGCAUGGCAUCCGGCGAGACAGGCGGCUCCCAAGCAGGGAAUGCAGCGGCGCUGGCCUCUCCUCUCCCUGUCUGCCGCUGUCCUGUGUCGUCACUGCCGCUGUUGUCCUGCGUCGUCACUGAUGUCCCCAAGUGCUUCUCUCCACAAAUGGUGCCACCAUGUCCAGAUCAAGUCAAGCGCCAGGUGCAGGAAAAUAGAACACGUGCACUUAACUUGUUUGAGGAAAUUCCAUCUCGAAACAAGAUUUGAUUAGGACUUGUGUUCUUGAUGCUCUAUCUGUGGCUAACUCACUACAACAGCACAGAUGUAAAGGGAAUCCAUUGUAAGAAACACAGGUAAAAAGGCAUUUUCCUUGUUCUUACAGUUUUGGAUCAAAGUUCACAUUUACCUUGAGUGUCUCUUUUUUUGGUAUAAAAUGGAUUCAACAACCAAUUUUAUCUGAAGACCAAACUAUCAGUAAGGAAGUGCAAACUGAGAGAAGUGGGCAAAAUAACUUGAGCAAAGAACUAAUUCUAUGAAAUGCUACUUUCCAGUGAUUUGUUGUGGCCUGUUAAUUUUUCAGUAGGGAGCUUGAAGUUUUAAUGCAGCUAGGAAGUUUCAUUUUUAUUCUUAUCCACAGGCUUGCUAAAUUUACAUUUUUAAUUUCAUUUCUUUCUGGAAAGAGGCAACCUUAAACAAUUUGAUUUUUUUUACCAGAAUCCCUCUAAAACCAACCAACAACAAAUAUGAAAUGGCAUUGCAUUGUUAUAUCAGUGGUAAGUUCAUAUGCAUAUUCUCCGUUUCUCUGGAAUUGGUCGAAAGUGUUUCUUCUGCUAUUGAUUCAAUCACUAGGCUUGUUGCCUUUGUUGCUGAAUUUUGCAUUGCUACUGGAAGACACUGCAUUGUUGAAGGAGUCCAUUGGGGACUGGAGUCAAUGGCCUACAACAUGGGCAGGCACGUGCGCUUCAUGAUUGUUGUUGGUUAACUGAGAGUAUAUGAUGCUUCGAAGAAAUGAUGUGCAUAAUUCAGACUAAAUCUUGCUGGUGGCAGUGAGGAGUUUCUUUGGCUGCAGCACUUCGAUUCUUUCUCAUUGUCAAAUUUUGUUCAGCUUUUCUUCUCAUAUUUUUUGUUUGUUUCGGUGUGCUAUGUGCAUCUUGCUGGUGACCCAUGCAUUAGUCAUGCCUCCCCGUUCUGCUGUCCAUAGAAAUAUUUUUUCUCUUCAUCACCUCUGACUUUUAUUAGCUCGAGCCUUUGCAAGAGGAAGUAUACGAUCUGUUCUGUCAGCUUUAGAUUCUUAUAGAUUACCCAGGUGUUGUUUAUGGAUCGGAGUCAUUAAUUCAUGCCUAUAUUUGAAAAAAAAUCUAUAUGUGCAAAGAACUGCAUUAUUCAUGCUGACAUUACAUUUCUCUUUUUCGGACUGGCCUACUAAUGGUAGCCUCACUUCUUCUCCGCAUAGAAAUUAUCUUGAGGAAGUUUUAAGUACUAAAUUGAAAUAGUACUUUGGUGUGUACUCAAAGAAGAGGCUACCAUAUUAUUUGUUCUUACUUACGGUGGUAGCUUCUUCUCUGUGUAGAAAUUAUCUUGACGCAACUAAGGAAGACAUUGGUCAGGUCCAUCGACAUUGUCGGAGUUGUCACUUUAUUGCAGUGUCUUAUUUUCAGAUCUCAUGUUCCUCAAGGUGACAAGGCAUUGGAGCCAUGAUUUACUUAGUAGCUUUAUUGGCUGGCAUCGAACUAUUUGGUGCUACAAUUAUUAGGCUUGCUCUCACCUCUCAGUACUGCUCUAGACAGGGAACGUUGAUGACUCCAUACAGGUAACUCUUUUGAAAUCAUUGACAGUAUAAAUAUACAGUUGUGUGAUUAGAUUUGAGGUUAUUUAUAGUUCUUAAACCAGCAUAUGCUUUCAUUGCCUUUAGAGCACAAUUUAUAAUCAAAUGGAAACAACAUCCCUUCCUUUACUCGGAACAUGGCAUCUAGCAGAGGAAGAUGAGUACUAUAUAUGUAUAUCAGUAUAUCGCCAUCUCUAAAAAAGGUUUUUGUCUAUGGCUUUCGCACAUUAGGCUUUUUUCCAAUUGUGUUCAGUACAGAAAGAGCUUGCUGGCAUGUACAGGAGAAUAGGCUACAUAUUCUUGAAAUGCAGCAACUUCCUAAACUAAACCGUGGUGAUGUACUCUUUGCCGCUGAUUUAUUGAGAUCCAGCUGAAAAUAAGGGGAGAACAAACAUCAUCCUGCCAUUCCAGUUAUCUCAUAUUUAUUGAGAAAAGUUACACAGUUUGCUAUUGCAAAAUACUAAAAUUCAUGUAUGUAUCUGGCUUCAUUAUGGAGUUUAGAACAAAAUCGUUGGAAUUCUUAUGUUGAGAAAAGUUCAAUGGAAUAUUAUUAUUAUGUGUUAUGAAGGUCAUACAGAGAAUAUAUGUAGUGCUAUGAAUAUAAAUUAGAAUAUAUACGAAGGUCAUACAGAGAAUCCUUGGUUAAUGCAUUGGUUUUUCUUUCCCAUUCAAAAUGAUAUUUGAAGAUAAGGAUAUAGUAUGAGAUGCUUUAGGGGUUUAAACAAUUGGUUAAGAUUAAACACAUGUUGUGCCGAAUUGCAGUCCUUCGUCCAAAUUUUCUUGAUAAUGAUACACCAUUUGGCGACAGGUUUUAGAAAACUUCAAAUUCCACUAGAGAUUAUUUACUUUUAUGACACACAGUUGUGUAGCUGUGAUCAGUGAGAGUUUAAGUUAUAAUGGAAGAAGGAUCAGAAAUGCGGUUUGUAUGACCGAAAACAUCUUAACAUAUGGUUUAUUAUUUAUUAUGCUCUGUGCUAGUGAGAUCGGUUAGUAAUAUUACACAUAAUACAUUUUUUUCUAGUUGGGGCCCUCACCCUCUUAAGCAUGUUUCUUUAGUAUACUGGUUAAUUGUGACAGUGCAUAUAUUUGAGGCCAUCAUCAGGUCUCCACUGUUAUACAUUUAUCUUGCUACUUUGUUGUUCAAAUUAUUAUUUUGGAAACUAUUUGAACUCUUCUGAACGCCAUUUUUUCUUAUUGUUUUUCUUUAUAAGUUUCUCCAGGAUGGCAAUUUCCACCUGGAAAAGCAUCAAGGUCGGUGAUCCAAUCUGUGUUAUAUAGGAAUCUCUUCUUCGAUUGAGGCAUGGUAGCAGAUGAUGCAUCUGUUAUAUGUGUGCCAGAAGGGGGAUCCGGUUGCUUGAUUCUGUAUGCACAUUCUGUAAAUAAAACUAUGGAAUGCAGCUUUGAAAUUGUGUUCUCUGUGAUCUCCCCGCCAAACAAUAUAUUAUCUUCUGGUUCUUUAA